rnacentral:rRNA from 1 species
CCUACGGGUGACAGCAGUGGGGAAUAUUGGGCAAUGGGCGCAAGCCUGACCCAGCAACGCCGCGUGAAGGAAGAAGGCUUUCGGGUUGUAAACUUCUUUUGGCAGGGAAGAGUAGAAGACGGUACCUGACGAAUAAGCCACGGCUAACUACGUGCCAGCAGCCGCGGUAAUACGUAGGUGGCAAGCGUUGUCCGGAUUUACUGGGUGUAAAGGGCGUGUAGCCGGGUUGACAAGUCAGGUGUGAAAUCCUGCGGCUUAACCGCAGAACUGCAUUUGAAACUGUUGAUCUUGAGUACUGGAGAGGCAGAUGGAAUUCCUAGUGUAGCGGUGAAAUGCGUAGAUAUUAGGAGGAACACCAGUUGCGAAGGCGGUCUGCUGGACAGCAACUGACGGUGAGGCGCGAAAGCGUGGGGAGCAAACAGGAUUAGAUACCCCUGUAGUC